GGGCUCGCGGCCCGGAAGAGAGGAGGGGCGAUGACCCGGGAAAGGGUUGGCGCCGCGCGGGACAGGCUAGCGCGCCUUGGGGGUGGGAGGGGAGGAGCCGGAGGGGCGGGGCCUCGCCGAGAGCCCGCCCCUGAGACCGGGGCUGAACGGCGCACAGACCCUUCCAGUCCGACGGCUAGGCCCACAGAACCUCGGCCUACACUCCUCCGUCGAGAUCCACCUGGGAGGCCGAGCUGACCCCCGCCAGCCUCCCGCACUACCUGGUGCAUCGCCAUCGGGGGCCGUGCUUGGGCCUCCUCUUAUCCUCUGGUCUCUCCUUGCCAACCUGUCCCCUGACAACCUCUGGCCACGAGUUCUAGGCCUAGUUCUGCUCGGGCUCUUGAGAGAUGGGGUGGCGACCCGUAUCAGAUGGAAGGGAGACUUUGCAUUUAUGGACUGAUCCUCGUGUGGUAAUUUGAGGCACGUCCACUGUGCAGCUGCUUUGUGAUAUUUCAGGUUGUUUUUUAGAACUCCUAGUUGGGCUGUACCCUGGCCAGGCCAGAAGUUCCCUCAGAACAGGGGCUGCUUCCUGUUAACCGGUGUUCCAGCCUGGCACUGAGUACAGUGUCUUGCACAAAGGAGGGGCUCCAGGGAUGUUGGCCGAAUGAGUGAAACUUUGAGAGUCCAAGCUUUCCGUUACUGAGAUGUUCCUACUCCAGAGCUUCCGCCAUACAAAGCUUCAUCUUUGAGCAAAUACAGAUGUGGAAAGAUGAUCCAAUGAGAUGUUUCCAUAAAGAACAUGUUCCCACUCCACACCUGGACCAGGAGCAGCUCAAAACAUGGAACUAAAAGCCACAAGUCCUAUGGGUGAGCAGAAAAACAUCCCAGAGAGAGGUUGUCAUAGGAACUGUGCCAGAAGAGCAGUUACUCAAUAGAAUGUACCAUCCAAAGAAGAGAGGAAGGAACUGAUCUUGAAGCAUCUUUUACCACCCAUUUUAGGGAACAAUCUUUCAUGAAUCUCCUCAUGGAAAUUGUCCACAGUGACGGCAGGAGACCUCUGAGGAAGACACAAUCAUUAUUCAAAUUUUCCAGAUGAAAAAAAUGAAGCACAAAGAAGGUGAAUUGUUCAAGGUCACAUGUUAAGCACCAGGUGUGGAAUGUGAACCUCUGUGUAAAAUGGCACAGCUUUCCUCUGGAAGGGGCUCUGUGACGACUAAAUCCAGGAAAAUUAACCAAGACAGAUCCAUGAUGUGGGGAGAUUUUUUUUUUUCCCACAAAAACAACUAGCCUUUGAAACUUCCAUAUUAACGCAAAAAGAAUCUCCUGACCACCAAAAGAACAAACAGCUGAAUGGGUGGGAGACAUUUAUUAUAAUUGAUGCAACCAGAAGAUACCAUCUCCUCCAUUUCUAAUUAACCAUGGUUCUCAAUGCCAUCAGGAUCACCUGCAUAGAUUGUUAAAACCCAGGAUGCUGGGCCGCACCCCCAGAAUUUGACUCAGUGGGUUUGAGAUUGUGUAUUUCUAACAAAUUCCCAGAUGAUGCUAAUGCUAGUGUUUCAGGCACCUGCAGGUUGAGACGCACGGAAAUAAGCUAUGAAUUGUGUAAGUUUAGUGACAUAAUUAUUGCUUGGUCACUUUUGUCCAAUUAGCCCUAGUCUGUUUACUCAGGAGGAUGUUUGAUUGAUGCCAGAAGCAGUUUGGACUGUGAGUGUGUCAGUGGACUGUGACGGAUGAGAAGACCACACUUUGUGGCUGACAUUGUUUGGACAUUGUUGAUCCUAUGAGUGAAUUCAAAGAAAUCCUUUUUUCCAUGUUCCCUACCUCCCAGAGGAAGGACUGUAGACUUGAAGGUCAAGCACUAUUUAAACUUCAGUGACCUGUCGUGAUAAUGCCUGGGAGGGGAUGCGUGGGAUGAGGUAAGGCACUGUACUGACAUGGAGCCUGUGUGAUCCUAAUGUCUAAAUUUUUUUUAAAAAUGGGGUCACGAGAACAUAAUUUGUGGGAUCCAGCACAAAAUAAAAAUGAGGCGUCUUUUGAUAAAGAAUUAUGAAUAAUUUCAAGCGGCAACAGUAGCGCAUAAAGUGCAUUUGAGACCCUUCUCACUGUAGAGCUGGUGUGACCUGUCCAUGAAAUUGGUCCUGACUGUGGUCCUGCAAGGGUUUCCAGACAUUUCUGGGACAGAAAGCAAAUGCCAGGGGAAGAGACAGGGUGAGGCAGAGGAAUUGCAUGACGCCUGUGGAGAUGGUGGAGCAUGAGCUGGAGUUAGAGCUGACUUUCUUGGCCCUUCUUUCUCUCUGCUUUGUUAUUGUGCUACCCCCGCUUCCCCCCAACCCCUCCACCCCAGAAGAGAGAGUGAAGGGUUGGUCUGUGCCUCAGGAUAUAUGAGCCAUGAUGGGUUAAGAAACAAUGCCAAGGACGCCACCAACCUGCUACCCCCUUCAGAGCAGGGAAGAGUCUGAGAAAUGCCAGGUGCCUGGGAUCAGCAGGUCUUCGC